ensembl:lncRNA
GUCAGACCAUAGAUAAUAUAGAAGACAGCGCGCUAGCGUAUCUAGUCUGUGUGUAUCUAUGGUCGGCACGUCUGGUAGCAUCUGUGGCUGCUGUUGACCUUGUUUUUGGAGUAAAACACGGUGGAAGCUGAAUUAGUGAGGAUGACUCCUGCUCCUGUCAUCUCUAAGCUCCUCACACAUCUUUACCUGCACAUGAGGAAAAUCACUCCUGUAGAAUGCAGAUGCACAAUGAGGGACGUCUGCAGAGACUGAGAAAGAGUCUCACCACAUCCUGACAUGAGGAAAAAGACUUUAUUGAAGACUACAAUGAGAAAAACUAUCAGACAGCAGACGGCUGCAUUCAAGAGAAGAAGACCAUCAAACAUCCACGUCAGCUGAUGGAGGUCCAAGAGUCUCACCGAACAACCAACCUACAGAGUGAAGACCUCAAAUCUGAUUGGACGGCCUCCUAUUCAGCCACAUGCUACAGGAGGAGCCCUACGAGGACGAGCCGGUCCACCUGAUGGUGGCCAGUCGCUGCGGUUCAAAGCCAACACCGACUACGUGGACUUCUACUGGACCACACGGAGGCCUUCAAACCGGACCAACAAGUUCAGCGACUCCCCGACUCGUGGGUCUGAGGACGCCGCCGAGCCUCGGUCCAGCCGGCCUCCUGUCUGUGGGUGUUUGAGUGCUGAGAGGUUUGUGGAUGCAUGUGAACGUGUCUGUGUUGAAACAGCAGCUUUUGACUCAGUAACGCUGGGAAAAACCAAGAGCUCCUUUAUUUGUGACUUCCACUAAAAAAAACUGAUGAAAAUAAGUUUGCCAGGGUUCUGACUGAUAACAGAUUAUUAAAUAAUGAAAAUAAUCGUUUAAAUAUUCCUUUAAACAAUCCUUUUAGGUCUACAUUUCCUUUACACUGACUUCUUGGUAUAUGUACAAGUAUUUUGGGUGGAAUAUACCAUUAAGCC